UUCUGGAAGAAACCAUCUUUGAGCCAUCUCUCAGGCUUGAAUGAAGCGGCAUCAGAUCCCCAGUUGUACUCCAUCCUGCCCAUUGAAUAGGGAACAUAAGUCACCAUCCCUCCUGCUUUGACUUUGGUUCCAUCAGGCAAGAUAUCAUCCUCCAGAAUCCCCUUGGGGUCCUACAAUCAUUCGAUACUAUCUCACUUAUCCGCUACAUUGAUGGAUUACAAUUGGGAGUGAGAAAAGGUAUACCUGAGGGACUGCUGGGUACAAACGAAGUGUUUCAGUGAUCCCUGCAUGCAGGUAAUAUAAUUUUCCCAAUGAAUAA
rnacentral:misc_RNA from 1 species